CAGAAAAAUUAUUGAAAAUCGAGCAAUAUUUAGAGAAGCUAACAGUCUUCAAACCCAACUCAAAAUAUUUCGUGUUGUUUUAGAUCAAAUGCAAAGUGACAGCUGUCACCUAUCCGAAUGUGUUGAGUUGUGGCUCUCACUUCUGAAUAACCCUGAACUAAGUCAUUACCACACAGCUAUCAAAAAGAGAUGUAAUGAUGCUUUGACACCUAUCCAUUAUCUUGCAUACAUGACCAAUCCUCGCUUUUUGGGCAAAAACCUGCCGAUUGAAAAUGAAGAUGAGGCUGAAGAAUGGCUUUACAAUCAUUAUCCUG